rnacentral:antisense_RNA from 1 species
ACCAACAUACUUUGCCAGUAAUUUUGGCUAUGAAUUCACCGAAUAGUUACGACCAAAAACAAAAAAAUCCUUGUAACUCAUUGAAUUACAAGGAUUUUAUAUCUACCAAAUUUGGUAGGCGCGAUUGGACUCGAACCAACGACCCCCACCA